rnacentral:tRNA from 1 species
GGCAGAGGAAGCAGGAGAGCCUAUGGUUUACGGUUUCCUAAACCGCAGGCCACAGGUUCGAUUCCUGUCGGGGUCA